UCCCUAAUGGCUGAGAUGGUAAAGAAUCUGCCUGCAAGGCAGGAGCCCCGGGUUCGAUCCCUGGGUUGGGAA
rnacentral:tRNA from 1 species